CGGCCCAGACUCCUACGGGAGGCAGCAGUGGGGAAUUUUGGACAAUGGGCGCAAGCCUGAUCCAGCAAUGCCGCGUGAGUGAAGAAGGCCUUCGGGUUGUAAAGCUCUUUUGUCAGGGAAGAAACGGCUGGGGCUAAUAUCCUCGGCUAAUGACGGUACCUGAAGAAUAAGCACCGGCUAACUACGUGCCAGCAGCCGCGGUAAUACGUAGGGUGCAAGCGUUAAUCGGAAUUACUGGGCGUAAAGCGUGCGCAGGCGGUUUUGUAAGUCUGACGUGAAAGCCCCGGGCUCAACCUGGGAAUUGCGUUGGAGACUGCAAGGCUUGAAUCUGGCAGAGGGGGGUAGAAUUCCACGUGUAGCAGUGAAAUGCGUAGAGAUGUGGAGGAACACCGAUGGCGAAGGCAGCCCCCUGGGUCAAGAUUGACGCUCAUGCACGAAAGCGUGGGGAGCAAACAGGAUUAGAUACCCUGGUAGUCCACGCCCUAAACGAUGUCUACUAGUUGUCGGGUUUUAAUUAACUUGGUAACGCAGCUAACGCGUGAAGUAGACCGCCUGGGGAGUACGGUCGCAAGAUUAAAACUCAAAGGAAUUGACGGGGACCCGCACAAGCGGUGGAUGAUGUGGAUUAAUUCGAUGCAACGCGAAAAACCUUACCUACCCUUGACAUGGAAGGAAUCCCGGAGAGAUCUGGGAGUGCCCG
rnacentral:rRNA from 1 species